AACGUAGGACGCAAGCGUUAUCCGGAGUUACUGGGCGUAAAGCGCGGGCAGGCGGUCUGAUGCGUCUGAUGUGAAAGCGCCCCGCUAAACGGGGCGAGGCCAUUGGAAACGGUCGGACUGGAGGGCAGUAGAGGCAGGCGGAAUUCCGGGUGGAGUGGUGAAAUGCGUAGAGAUCCGGAGGAACACCAGAGGCGAAGGCGGCCUGCUGGGCUGCACCUGACGCUGAGCCGCGAAAGCCAGGGGAGCGAACGGG
rnacentral:rRNA from 1 species